rnacentral:rRNA from 1 species
GACGAACGCUGGCGGCGUGCCUAAUACAUGCAAGUAGAACGCUGAAGAGAGGAGCUUGCUCUUCUUGGAUGAGUUGCGAACGGGUGAGUAACGCGUAGGUAACCUGCCUUGUAGCGGGGGAUAACUAUUGGAAACGAUAGCUAAUACCGCAUAACAAUGGAUGGCCUAUGUCAUUUAUUUGAAAGGGGCAAAUGCUCCACUACAAGAUGGACCUGCGUUGUAUUAGCUAGUAGGUGAGGUAACGGCUCACCUAGGCGACGAUACAUAGCCGACCUGAGAGGGUGAUCGGCCACACUGGGACUGAGACACGGCCCAGACUCCUACGGGAGGCAGCAGUAGGGAAUCUUCGGCAAUGGGGGCAACCCUGACCGAGCAACGCCGCGUGAGUGAAGAAGGUUUU